rnacentral:rRNA from 1 species
GGGUAACAUGCCCUAAGGUGGGGGAUAAUCUCGGGAAACUGAGGAUAAUACCCCAUAGGUCUGAUAUGCUGGAAUGCUUUCAGGCCGAAAACUCCGGUGCCUUAGGAUUGGCCUGCGGUCUAUCAGGCUGUAGUGGGUGUAAUGGACCCACUAGCCCGUGACGGAUAUGGGCCUUGAGAGAGGGAGCCCAGAGAUGGACUCUGAGACAUGAGUCCAGGCCCUACGGGGCGCAGCAGUCGCGAAAACUUCGCAAUGGGGGCAACCCCGACGAGGGAAUUCCAAGUGCCAGCACUUUGUGUUGGCUGUUCUCCUGUCUAAAAAACAGGAGGAGUAAGGGGCGGGUAAGACGGGUGCCAGCCGCCGCGGUAAUACCCGCGCCCCUAGUGGUGGUCGAUAUUAUUGAGCCUAAAACGUCCGUAGCCGGUCUUCUAAAUCCUUGGGUAAAUCGGGCAGCUUAACUGUCCGAAGUCCGGGGAGACUGGGAGACUUGGGACCGGGAGAGGUCAGAGGUACUUCUGGGGUAGGGGUAAAAUCCUGUAAUCCUGGAAGGACCACCGGUGGCGAAGGCGCCUGACUAGAACGGAUCCGACGGUGAGGGACGAAGCCCUGGGGCGCAAACGGGAUUAGAUACCCCGGUAGUCCAGGGUGUAAACGCUGCGGGCUUGGUGUUGGGGGUCCUUAGUGGGCGCCCAGUGCCGGAGAGAAGUUGUUAAGCCUGCUGCUUGGGGAGUAUGUCCGCAAGGAUGAAACUUAA